ACAGAGGGUGCAAGCGUUAAUCGGAAUUACUGGGCGUAAAGCGUGUGUAGGUGGUUUGCUAAGUCAGAUGUGAAAUCCCUGGGCUCAACCUAGGGAUUGCAUUUGAUACUGGCAAGCUCGAGUGUGGUAGAGGGUAGUGGAAUUCCCGGUGUAGCAGUGAAAUGCGUAGAUAUCGGGAGGAACAUCCGUGGCGAAGGCGGCUACCUGGACCAGCACUGACACUGAGGCACGAAAGCGUGGGGAGCAAACAGGA
rnacentral:rRNA from 1 species